rnacentral:lncRNA from 1 species
AAGUGAGGGUGGCCUUGGCCUUGCAGUGGCCUUUAUUCCCCACAGUGGAGGGAUGGAAACCAAAGAGGUCCGCGAAGCCCAGACAGCGGGCCAGGCCUGGGGCCCCUGUGCUCCCGGAUCCAACCAACCACGCCCCAAGGUGUCCAGCUUCAGCUUCUGGUGUUUAUUGCUGCUGUUUCUUUUCAGUUACCCAAGCCAAUAAAGUUUUCUUUCUCUUUUUUUAACCUCCAA